CGGCGCCCCUCCCGACCAGGUUGGCCUGCACCUUGCGGCUCCGACCGCGGUGGGCGCGCCGGAAGCCGGAGCUGUGAGAGGCCGGCGACGUCGCAGGGGAAGAUACUGUAGAAAGACCUGCAGCCUGCCAGUGUAGCGGGAGGCCGACUCACAGGGCUUGGCCAUCCCAUUUAUGUCAUAACCCGCCACAGCCCAAAGACCCGGAUGCCGUGUCUGAGAAGGUCACUCUGCCUCGCUUCCUACUCCUCAGGAAGGAUGACGGGUUAUGGAAGAUAAUGGUGGAGGUGGCUGUUACCUUGGAGUCAAGAAAACAGGUGGAGAGUAAAGCCGCCACCAAGGAAAGACACUUGGACGGGGAAGUUACUGUCAGAACCGCCUGACAUGACCUUUGGCGUGAAGAAUGGCGUGAGGACGGCAUCCGGAGGAGACUGGGGGCAGUGGGGAGAAGAACGAUGCCUUCUGCAUCAAAGGAAGCGGAUCUCAGAGGUGCCAGCCCUGAGAGGAGAUGAGAGAUCAGCCGGGUUGUCUGGAUCCAGUUUUUACCAAAAUGAUGGGCCAGAGAAAGACGGAACCUUAGACAGUCUGACCUAGUUACAUUUGCAUUUUCCCAGGAAAAAUGACUGUAAAAUUCCUCAGAAACACUUGGAGUCAUUUUCUGGCGCAGAGAGGAAGAAGGCGGGGAGAAACAAUGACCCUGCUUUCAGGGCUGAAGAGAGAAGAAAGCUCAACUGGGGAAUGCAGGGCGAUGCUAGAAGAAAGCCAGGGUCCCACCUGGAUCCUCUGGGAGAAAAGGAUGAAAAAGGGAACCAGCCUGGCAAGGAGACCUGUCCCCACCCAUCUGCAUUUGCAGGAGAACCUGGCCACCAAAGGCACUGCACGUUUCCAGGCAGGAACGACGGGUGGCACUCUACAGUGGAGAAGAAAAAAAUCAUUAGGUUUUUCCAUCAGAUACUGACACGUUCUUUAAGAUCAUGAAGUUUACUUUCCCCCAAAGAAUCUUUUUAAAAUCCCACACUGAUUUGGCAACUUUCUCAUUAUCAUGCCCUGCAGCUCAGCAGCACGUAAGCCCUGGGUGGUUUCCUGAGGGGAAAUCCUGAUCUCCUGGAUUAU